rnacentral:rRNA from 1 species
CAGUCGCCGCGGUAAUACGUAGGUGGCAAGCGUUGUCCGGAAUUAUUGGGCGUAAAGGGCUCGCAGGCGGUUUCUUAAGUCUGAUGUGAAAGCCCCCGACUCAACCGGGGAGGGUCAUUGGAAACUGGGAAACUUGAGUGCAGAAGAGGAGAGUGGAAUUCCACGUGUAGCGGUGAAAUGCGUAGAGAUGUGGAGGAACACCAGUGGCGAAGGCGACUCUCUGGUCUGUAACUGACGCUGAGGCUCGAAAGCGUGGGUAGCAAACAGGAUUAGAUACCCCGGUAGUCCCUGUCUCUUAUAC